rnacentral:lncRNA from 1 species
GCCGUUUGCACACAAACUGAUCAGAGAGACUUAAACUCGUCAUGCGAACGCCGAACAGACGCAACAGAAAUAACGAAAUACGGUACUUGAUUCUAUCGUCGUGCAGAAUUCAUCAUGAUUUUAUCUAGAUUGCUCCUCCCUUACAGUUUCGUUAUUAUUUUAGUGACAAUUCAAGCCGAUAAUUUGAAUGAUGAACAAAACAGAAAAAGGCGGGAAGAUAGUGAGGGUUUGUUGAGGGAGAAACGAAUGGAAGAGGUAGCCGUAGAAACGGAAUUGCCGGAAUUGAAUCGUGUCAAAAGACUGGAUUCAUUGAAGACGCUUCACGAUGUACUGGGUAACAAACGUGUUCGUCGCAUGGUAGAAGAUCCGAGCUUAUUAAAACGAAGCAUCCAUUCAAUGGCUGAACUUCAGAAAGAUGCGAAGAUGAGAAGGAUCAAGAAAAUGGGUUGGAUGUAUUCAAAAUGAACGAAGAGUAAGCAAUUAACAAUACGCUUAGUUAAAAAAAUAUAGGCUUUGAGGUAGAAAAUAUGAAAACACCCUCAAAAAUUUAAUUUAAAAUAAUUGUUUAUUUAAAAGGAGUUAAUAUACUUUCAAUAAUAUAAAGAUAAAAAUAUUGUUUUUAUGGAUUUACAUGUGUUCCACUACAAGAAUAUUUAAAUUGAGUAUCAGCCAAUUUACGAAUUUAAAACAUAAGAACUUCUGAUUAUAUGUUUUGUCUGUUUCAUAUUUUUCAAGUUUGUUUAGCUUGUCACAUGUCCAGAGAGCAUUAUGUUGAACCAGGGGAGGAUUUAGGGAGGGGUACGGGGUGGGGAUGGGGUGGGCACACGUUCCUCCCGGUUUUGCCACAGCCCUCUUUUAUUUUUUAAACAGAAAAAAUACAAAAUGGCAUACAUAAAUACUAAAUGUUACAAUUCAAUAUUUUGUAUCAGCAUAUACCAUAGAGAAAAUAGAAUCUGUUCUAUUUUCUCUAUGCAUAUACUGACAUUAUUGGAUACUUAUUUAUCUGUGACGGUAUAAAUACACAUAUAGACCAUAUAUAAAAUUAGUGCUCCUCUCGUUAAAAAAAUUCUGAAUCCGCUCCUUUAUUUAAUAGGUAAAGUGAAAUAUGGGAUAAUUAAUUUCGCACAUUGUUUUAAUCAAUCAAUCAAGGGCUAGAAUAUGCAAUAUUGUCCCAGACAGAACUGGCAAAAGAAUUCACAGUGCAUCAAACUAUGAGACCGGAAAUACAGUAAGUUUAAAAAUGAAAAAAAAACUUUGUAUAUGAUAUAGGCCUAUGAUUAUAUACAUAUUCUGAAACUGUUCACUGGUUAUAGAAUGUUCUUGAAUCAUUGCUCCGAUUUUGUCAUCACCGCGUUCUAGUUCUGAUGACGUCACAGAGUAUUUGGCCAACUGUGACGAAUUACGUGUAGGCCUCUAAUUGUAAUUUUGUUGUAAAUAUCAUUUUUAUAUAGAUAUUAGAUUUUUACCUAGAUACAAGAACCACGUGAUUUUAAAGUGUACCCUCUUGUCACUGUAUUGUUAGUGUUCUUUAACUAAUUAAUAUUAUGAAGACAUUUGUCUGCAAUUCGAAGCAGAUGAUAAAAGGCCGUUUGGGAGUUAAGAGUGCAAUAAUAUGUAUAAAAACGUUAUCACAAUUGAUUUUAAAUUUAGUGUGAUACUUUCAGGAAUUAAGUUGUACAUACACUAGAUAGAUUUGGAAAUGUUUUAGAUGUUUACCUCGUAGGCCUGGGAUGAUAACACACUUUAUAUAUUUUGUUAAGUAUAAACGGCUCUACAAUGCAUAGAAUAGACGAUUCGCGAUUGAUUGAAAAUUAAGGAAAAUAUGAUGUUAUUUUAUUAUUUUUUUUACGAACAAGAAAUAUCUGGUUUUGCAAUUAUUAUUUACCUGUUGAAAUUGAGUGUUAUCCAUGAAUACCUAAAGUGAUUAAUUACCAUGUUAACAUGUUUAGACUCAUAGGCCUACAAUUUGUGCAAAUAACUUAUAGAAAAUUAAUAGAAAUUUGAAUGAAACUGUAGCAGUCAGUUAGCACUAUUCAGGCUACUGAACUUCAUACUGAAUUUCUGUUAGUUUUUCCUAAUUUAUACAGAAAAUCCGUUAUUCAGUAGUUGAUAGACUGUAUGAUGAUUAAGAUUAUCGGAAUGAUAUUAAAAUAUUCAAUUAUUGUAUAGUAUUCCAUUAUGAGCGUUUUGCUUGUGGCCGUAUUGUUACGCAGUAUGGCUGGCAGGAUACGUUUAGCUGUGUUUAUGAUCCCUGUAGCGUCAUGACGGUAAUAAAUAAUGAGAAAAUUAAUGUAUAUUGUGUUUCUAAACGUUGUUCAAAUUUACCUAAUAUUAAUGUUGUUGAAUUAAUUGUAAUUUUCUCAUGAAGAAAAUCAAUUGGAAUACAGGAAACGUAAUGAAUUGUUAUUAGAUAAUGAGAAGUACAAUAAUACUAUGGAAAUAAGGUUAUAUUGAAGAAAUAUCAUGGAGAAAAAAUUAUAAAUUCGACGUUUCGCCUGUGAUACCAACAAGCCUUAAUUAUCAGUGUAUACAGGGUUUACGGUAUAUGAUACACAUGCAUUUAUAAUAAUAUAGUAUAGGGCCUAUUACAUCAUCUGAAGGGGACAGUACUCGUAGUCGUUGAGUUGUGGAUAGGGGUCUUUGGUGUGUGGGAAAGGUGUGAGAGGGGCUGUAUGUUCGGUUAAUUAGACAAUGUUUUCGUUUCUUUUUCGAUAUUCUCAUUAUCAUAAUUACGUACCCAGUGUCAUUCGCAUCGUUAAAUAUUAAAAAUAAGUGUACUAUCUUAGAUUUUAUGUGAUUACCACGAGGAUUAGAAAUCGAUGCACGGUAUUUUUGACAAAUAAAUCGUUUCCCAUAAACUAGA